AAAUACCAGGCCUCUGGAUAUCUAACGUCAUGCAGAGCAGAGGCCGCUCCUUAGAAGGACCUGCUGGCAAGCCUGGCCCUUGGCUGACGACUGGCAAGUUGGGUUUCAGCAGUGCUCCCACCCUUCCCUGGUAAGAAUGGCUGGCCUACCUAAACUGUUUGUAUAAACCAUGUGGUUUACGCUAAACAUCUCGCCUUGUGGGCAUUUUGGUGCGGGCUAGGCAGAAGGUGCCUACCUGGCCAGCCCCCAGUAAAGACCCCGGGCCCUGGUUCUCCGAGGAAUUAAGCUUGUCUUGCUUGAUUUCACAGACUCUUGGAACCUUCCACCCGGUUGCCUCUGGAUGUCACCCAUGCGCCUUUUCCCUCUGCUGAUCUUGUUUGUAUCCUUUCAUUAGGAUAAGUCUUAGCCCUGAGAACAACUGUAUGCCGAGUCCCAGUGUCCUCCUUCUGAAUCACCUAAUCUGGGGGUAGUAAUUUUUCUCACUGUCCUCCUUGGACAGAGAACUUAAAUAAUGGAUUGUUGGAUUCAAAUUCUCAUUUUUUAUGGAAGUGCAUUUCACUGUGGGAAAGCCAUCUCUCUGGAUAACAGGCCUGAGCAUUCAUCUUGGCAACAGCUAAUCCUGGAAGGGGUUUAAGAAGGCACCUUGGGCAGGUUUAAAAUGAGAAAGAUAUUAGAAUAAGGUGGACAAAUUUAGUUAGCCUGCACUACAAAGAAAAAUGAACCAAUACGACCUUCGGCUCAUGGCGGAAGGGGGGACGCUUCAAGCUAUUAUCCUAAUUCCUGCCUCAGUGCAUUAAUAUUAAAUAUUAACAUGAAACAUUAAUAUUACUGUCACCCAACCAACAGUGACAUCAUAAAAUACCUUUCCAAUUUAGCACACAGACACAAAGCCAUCAUAAAUAGUAGUGAGGUUUAACUUGCAAUACGCAUAGCACUUGAUACCACAACCUAAUAAGGAAAUACACUUGAAAUUUAGUACAAGGGGAAAAUGUUUCAAUAUACUCAAUUUUUCUACUUAUGCAAACCCUACAUUUAAAACAUGUUUUCAUUCUUAACUGUUCAGAGUAUCUUCCCCAAAGCAGUCUUCUGUCUCCUAUCUUUCAUUAACACUUAAGGUAGAUACAUUUUUCCCAAUACAGGAAAGAUAUAAAAUUGUAAGUUGUUUCCUAAAAUUCACAUGAUUACAGGUAGUUAACUAAUCAGAAACUUAAUAUGGACGAUGUGAGACUUCCCAUGGACAUAAACUAGACAGCUCAUUCAUACUUAUAUUUUCUCAUAGUGCACUCUCUAAGGGGGUAUCUUCAAAAAAAAAGUAAAUGACACCCAAUUAUGUUCCACAUUAUAUGUCCCAUAUAACUGAACAGCUGUACAGAUUACAAUAAGCCAGAAAUAUUAAGGUCCUUAAUGAACAGUAUGUUACAUAUUAGCCAAAUCAUUCUCUAACCUCUGAACCUAAAAACUCUGAUCCUUCCCAAAUUCUUUUUCUCCUAUGUGCCCCUCACCCAGUUCUUAAGGAGCAGUGCAAACAACCAGAGCAAGACGGCAGACAUAGAAAAAGAAAGUAACAGCCUUCCAGCCCACUACCUGUCUUCAAAAUAAAUCUUCACUGGAGUACAGUCUCGUCUACGUGUCUAUGGCUGCUCUUGCGCUGCAGUGGCAGAGCUGAGUAGGAGCAACAGAGACUGCACGGCUCACAGAGCCUGGAAUUUUUACUCUCUGGACCUUUACAGAAAAAGUUUGCCAGCUUCUGCUCUUCAGCAAUAAAAAGGAAUGAACUGCCAAUGACUAUAACAACAUGAAUAAAUCUCAAAAACAUGCCGAAUGAGAGAAGCCUUAUACAAAAGAGGACAUACUAUAUGGUUCUGUUGAUGUGAAGAUCUAGCGUUGGUAAAACUAACCUGUGAUGGAGAAAAUCAGAAUAACAGCUGCCUGUAGGGGUAGGAUGGGGACCGCCUGGUAAGGGACAAGAGGAUAAUGUCCAGUUCUGCAUCUUGACAGGAGUCUGGCUUUGACAAAGACUCUCUUAUACCAAAACUUUAGACUGGCUCCUCGGAGUAAAUCUUCUUUCUGACUAAGGCCCAACCUUGGGCUUCCGCCUCUGUCCUUGCAGAAUCCAGGUUGAGCAAGAAUCCUAAGAUUCCCCACCCUUGGUACCUAACCAAACUUGAGUUUGAUAUCUGAUCGAAUUCCCCCUCCCCUACUCUGGCCCGCCUUCACCAAGAACUCAGCUGAGUCCAUCUAGCAAGAACCUCCCCUCUCCCUAAUGCUUCCUCUUUGUAAUUUCGCAUCCAGUGACCACGCACCAACUCUGCUCCUUGAUUAGAAAUCCCACUUGUCCUCUCUAGAGUCAGACUUGAGCCCAAACUUCCUCUCUCUCACUGCCAGAGCCCAGGGCAGUGUCCCCUACACCUACCAUGAUAGCCCCCCCGCCCCGAAUAAAGUCCUCCUUAAGGUCUUUAACAAGGGUCAUGAAUAAUUUUUCUCUUUAACAGGCUGCAUUGAUAUCAGAACUCAGGACUGGUAUCCCUAAGAUCUGUACCUUUCAUUUUAUCUAUUGGGCUGGCCAAAAAGGUCGUUUGGGUUUCUCCGUAAGAUGUUACAGAAAAACCCAAACGGACUUUUUGGCCAACCCAAUACAAUUACCUCCUAGUUAAUAAUAAGCAAGGUGAAGUAUCUAGGAAAAAGUAAACCAAAAUCUACAACUUUUUUUUGAAAUGCAUCUUAAAAAGAUAAACUGAUGGAUACAUGAAGGACAGAGAUAGAUAAAUGUGAUAAAACAUAGUAAAAUGUUAAUUUUAGAAUCUAGAUGGUGAGGACAUGAUUGUUCACUGUAAAAUUCUUUCAACUUCUAUCUUUGAAAUUUCUCAUAAUAAAAUGCUGGGGGUAAUGCUUA